UAUUUAACCCUCUAUGGUACGGAGUUGCCAUAUGGCAACAAUUAAUUUAUACUCAUUUCCUUGUUAUUCUGAAAAAAACUACGAUAUAUCACAUUAUGGGAAUUAAAAGGGUAGGCCUUAAGGUAGCCAAUGAUGUGCUGUUUUUAAGUCACAUGACAACUGAAUGUCCUCCCAAAACUCCUUUUCCCACUGUCACCCUCACACAGAAGACACCUGUUGAAGUGCUCCAGAAAUUGCUCUAUUAACCUAAUUUCUAAACAUCUUUUCUCAAGGGGGAUUUUUUUGCAACAUCUUUGAAAAUGAAUACAGCUAUAUUUUAUGGAAAGGGCAAUAGGAAGAGUGCAGAGUUGGCCUGUCAUGGAGAAUAAAGGGAAGUGCAAAUACCCUGGCUGAAGGGGGAUCGUCCGCAUGAAGAGCAGCAAAUGUGACUUGCACCUUUGCAUCACAGCUGAAAGGAACUGCUUUUUGCAGUUUCAUGGGAUGUCAUGAAAUGUGACUUGAGUUGGAUUGAGACAGGUGCACAGUGAUGGACUGGGAAAACCCACACUGUGGGGCAGCUGUGGCCUAAAAGUCAGAGUGUUGGACUAGUUACCCAAAGAUCACCGGUUUGAGUCUCGGUGCUGGUAGGAGUUGUCGGUGGGUGGGGAGUGAAUGAACAGUGCUCUCUUCCACCCUCAAUACCCAUGGCUGAAGUGCCCUUGAGCAAGGCACUGAACCCCCAGUUGCUCCCCGGGCACUGGAUAUAUAGCUGCCCACUGCUCCGGGUGUGUGUUCACUUCUCACUGCUGUGUGUGUGCACUUGGAUGGGUUAAAUGCAGAGCACCAAUUCCGAGUAUGGGUUACCAUACUUGGCAAAUGUCACAACUUUAACUUUUCACUUUACUUCAGGGAGCCCCCUAUGGUAAUACCUGAAUUUUAUGUUUUCAUGUUCUACAUGGUAUUAGUGCAUGUUCCAUGCUACCAUACAUUUACUUAACUUGUAUAAAAUACUUUCAAAAAGACUUGUUUUUGUUGUUGGAAUCUUUGUGGAUGUAAAACAAUAAAAAGUUGAUGAAUUUGAUAUGCAUAUAUGGUACAAAAGCGAAUUUUUUUGUCCGUUUGCAAGCAUUAUUAUAAUACUUUUAAGUACUAUUUUGAAGGUUAAAUGAUAGGAACCUACUUACUUUUGGUUUGCAUGAGUUCCAAGUAUAAAAAUCUAUCAAUAUCUAAAAGAAAUGUCAAUUUAAAUAGAAAAGAUAAUCAUAGUUUAAUAGAAAAACUACUUUUUUGGUCAUUUUCCAUUGUGGUACACUGUUGCCAUAUGGCAACGUUUUCCUAAAUACCCC
ensembl:lncRNA